rnacentral:rRNA from 1 species
GAUGAACGCUGGCGGCGUGCCUAAUACAUGCAAGUCGAGCGAACGGACGAGAAGCUUGCUUCUCUGAUGUUAGCGGCGGACGGGUGAGUAACACGUGGAUAACCUACCUAUAAGACUGGGAUAACUUCGGGAAACCGGAGCUAAUACCGGAUAAUAUUUUGAACCGCAUGGUUCAAAAGUGAAAGACGGUCUUGCUGUCACUUAUAGAUGGAUCCGCGCUGCAUUAGCUAGUUGGUAAGGUAACGGCUUACCAAGGCAACAAUGCAUAGCCGACCUGAGAGGGUGAUCGGCCACACUGGAACUGAGACACGGUCCAGACUCCUACGGGAGGCAGCAGUAGGGAAUCUUCCGCAAUGGGCGAAAGCCUGACGGAGCAACGCCGCGUGAGUGAUGAAGGUCUUCGGAUCGUAAAACUCUGUUAUUAGGGAAGAACAUAUGUGUAAGUAACUGUGCACAUCUUGACGGUACCUAAUCAGAAAGCCACGGCUAACUACGUGCCAGCAGCCGCGGUAAUACGUAGGUGGCAAGCGUUAUCCGGAAUUAUUGGGCGUAAAGCGCGCGUAGGCGGUUUUUUAAGUCUGAUGUGAAAGCCCACGGCUCAACCGUGGAGGGUCAUUGGAAACUGGAAAACUUGAGUGCAGAAGAGGAAAGUGGAAUUCCAUGUGUAGCGGUGAAAUGCGCAGAGAUAUGGAGGAACACCAGUGGCGAAGGCGACUUUCUGGUCUGUAACUGACGCUGAUGUGCGAAAGCGUGGGGAUCAAACAGGAUUAGAUACCCUGGUAGUCCACGCCGUAAAGAUGAGUGCUAAGUGUUAGGGGGUUUCCGCCCCUUAGUGCUGCAGCUAACGCAUUAAGCACUCCGCCUGGGGAGUACGACCGCAAGGUUGAAACUCAAAGGAAUUGACGGGGACCCGCACAAGCGGUGGAGCAUGUGGUUUAAUUCGAAGCAACGCGAAGAACCUUACCAAAUCUUGACAUCCUUUGACAACUCUAGAGAUAGAGCCUUCCCCUUCGGGGGGGCAAAGUGACAGGUGGUGCAUGGUUGUCGUCAGCUCGUGUCGUGAGAUGUUGGGUUAAGUCCCGCAACGAGCGCAACCCUUAAGCUUAGUUGCCAUCAUUAAGUUGGGCACUCUAAGUUGACUGCCGGUGACAAACCGGAGGAAGGUGGGGAUGACGUCAAAUCAUCAUGCCCCUUAUGAUUUGGGCUACACACGUGCUACAAUGGACAAUACAAAGGGCAGCGAAACCGCGAGGUCAAGCAAAUCCCAUAAAGUUGUUCUCAGUUCGGAUUGUAGUCUGCAACUCGACUACAUGAAGCUGGAAUCGCUAGUAAUCGUAGAUCAGCAUGCUACGGUGAAUACGUUCCCGGGUCU